GGGACUUUUGUCCCUCUGUCAAUACAUGGACCGUUAGAUUGAAUUCAAUCCAAUGGUUCACAAUGUCUAAUCACAUUAUAGUUUCUCUCUCUCACACACACACUCCUCUCAAAUUUUCAACGCUCUCUCUCAAAUUUUGAACACAGACGUCUCUCUCUCUCUCUUUCUCUCUCUCUCUCUCUCUACAUUACUCUCUUCAUCUUCUCUAUUUCUCUAUUCCUCUGAAUCGCCCUAAGCCCCAACAAACCCAUCUCAAUCCCUCUCUCUACAUUACCCUCUUCAUCUUCUCUCUUCAUCCAUUCCUUUGAACCACCCCCAACAAACCCAUCUCAAUCCCUUUGAACCGCCCCAAAAUUCUUUAACUUCGCCGCUGGCCGAAUCCGAGCUCUACAACUGGCGUGGCUCCAAUGCAGAGGUAAAGAAUUUCUCUCAAUCAUCCGAAGACCAGAGUCAGAUGUGUGAACCCUCCUCCAAAUCCACAGAGCCAUAGAGACCGUCAAUUGAUCAUUAGUGGAAUAGAGAAAGAACGAUUUCCAAAAUCAAACUCCAUAGAGACCAUCAAUUGAUCAUUAGUGGAAUAGAGAAAGAACGAUUCCCAAAAUCAAACUGUUCAUAUUAGAGAGCUUGAGGAAGAAGUGAAACUUCUUAACAACCUUUCGCUUCUGAACAUUGUGGCUGAAGAUUCAUAAUGGAAUGAUUCCCACUCACUCCCACCCUCUAUCUCAAUUUUGGUUUUUUUAAUUGGCACAAAUGUAUUCAAUUUCCAUGGAAUUCGAAACUUUACCAAUGGAAGCAAUUUAAAGUUGAGGCAUGAGUUAUAGAUAUAAAAGUUCCUAAUGUGCCAUUAUGGAGCAACAAGAAGAUUUCAAAAAAAUUAUGGAGUAACAACCAUUUGGGUGCUUUUUGAAUGGCUAAGUUCUCUCUCUCUCUCUCUCUCUCUCUCUCUCUCUCAUGUAACAUUAGCCACCAAAAUUGAAGUUGGGUUGAUGUUUAUAAGUUUGAUACAGAGGAAUUAACGAUGUUGACAUGCCCAAUAGCCACUGCACCCACUUAGUCUUUCCCCUUUGUCGGUAUGUAAGCACUACUUCCUCAAAUGGCUCUUCUUAAAACACCACUCUCCACUCCUCUUUAAAAUUCUCUUAUUUAUUUAUUUUUUAUUCCCUUCUAUUGUUCAUUUUCAUCACUUGAAUUACAGGCUGUUAGGUGAUGGAAUAUACAAGUGGGUGACAUGGAUUGCACAAUUGGGAGACAACGCGUAUCUAACGUAAAAGGCCUUUUCUUUUUACUACCAUUCCUUCUUUAAAUACUGUAAAUGCAUACACAUAUGUAUGCGUAUAAUGUAAUGGAUAGAAGGAGUAUGUAAUGGAUAGAAUGAAUUUAUUUAAUGUGAAAAGAUCUAAUGGUUCCAUUUGAAAGA